UACCAGAGUGCUAUCUUGCACGGCUUCCCCACGUGCCGCAGAUUUCUUUUGCAAUGGUGUCUGGGCUGUGAGGAAGGCUGAUUUUUCAGUCUGCUUCCUGGCCUGUUUCUGAGCCAUCUCCGCCGUUUACCCUGCUGAAUGUGAGUCGGUAAUGCUGUUCGUAAUUGUGCAUAGAAAUUAGUCUGUGUAACAGAGAUACAUUGUUAUUGUUCUAAUUACAUUUUAGUUGCAUAUAUUGUUAUUAGUAAGUCACCUAAAAUUACUCAGAACAGCCCCACACCUGAUCACAUAACACUCACGCAGCAAUUUUAAAGUGUGCCUCUUUGUCCAUUUAAAAUAUUGGGGUGCAUGUGUACAUCCUUUGGUGGGGAAGGGAGUAAGCAGCAUUUCUAUAAAAAAGAUCGUCUGUCAAAAAGAGGAGAUGUAGGAGAUCACGGUGUCACGAAAUACUGUCUAACCUUUCUAAACAGUUAAGGUUUAUUUUUAAAUGAUUAUAUUUUAUUUUAAUGAAUGUUAUUACCUUAACAGUCAUCCAGUUUAUUUUAGUCUCCCGUCAGUAUAAUAUUUGCAUUUUUUUAUUUUUUUUACUUUAUUGAAAAAAGUUUUUGAUAAGAAAGCAAAAAAGGUUAAUCAGGGAGAAAGCGAUGGACAGUGAUGGAGACAGUGUAAUGUAUAUAGUUGCAUAUUUAGAAUCAAAGAGCUUGGAAUCUUGAAAAAUGAAAUAACUGAUUAAAUCUGCUGCAUAUGUUAUAGCCACGUGUUCCUAGUCUGAGUAGCCUCUUAGCCUGAAUUGAUUAAUGGCUGUCCAAAGCAUGUUCCUGCACUCAUUUCUGCCACUGAAGUCACAGCUAGAAAUCUAUUCCAAGGAACGAAUACCUUCCCUUAAAAACAGUUGUUCAAAAUAUUGAGGCUACUAUUUUAAAGUAACAGCCAUUUAUGUAAUCCUUCCCUUUCUAUGAAACGAACUCUUCUUGUACUUUUAAUACCGAGUUCUACCACGUAUUCAGAAUACCCAAAGUAACAAAUAAAUAGAUGUUAAAGUGUCAUAUUAAAGAUAAGUGUAUUUUGAAUGCAAUUCACAAUGCCUCUAUUAUUCUCGCUUUUUUUUUAAUUCUUCUUCUUUGUUUUUAUAAAUGGAUCCGUUCCUAACAUUUCUGUUUUUUAUAAAGAUGAGCUCAGUUCCUGGAUAGGAUUUGAUAAAUACACAGUACAUUUUGGGAAGGAUGUGCAAUGGAGUGGAUGGAGAACUUUUGAGAUCUUAGAGAGCCCUCUAGUGGUAAAACAUAAAUGAAAAUUCUCCCUUUCAUUUGUUGAUCCAGAGCAAUAAAAAAAGAUUUUUUAAAUUGAGUUAAAUGUGAAACUUGCUAAUUGUAUUUUUCUGAUAUGUAAUUCACUACAUGUAUGCAUGUAUUUAUGUAUAUAUAGCCAAAAUACUAGAGUAUUGCAGUAUGCAAAAUGCAAUGGUACCUUUUUUUAUUGAACUAAAUAAUAUUUCAAAGACAAGCUUUCAAGGGUUUUCCUCUCUUCAUCAGGUCUGAAGCAAACGUAUUCAACAUCAGAAGAUAGCCUCUGCUCAAAACCUCCAGUAGUUAUGCAUAUUUGGUAAAAAAAAAAAAAAAAUGACGGUGAAAGCACCAAUAUAUACUACGUCUGAAAUUAUUGACCAGAAUACUAAAUUAUGUCAGUGUUUCAUUGUCACUCCUUUGUCUCUCGUUUGAUGGCUGUGUCCAUACGUAUAUGUCAUGUUUUGUAUACCAAUGGUUGACAAUGUUUAUAUGUCUUAUUUUUUAUCUAUCAGCAUUCCUGAGUCACAUUCAUUGUUUCUCUACCAGAAAGUUUAUGCUUCGAUCUAUGAGUCAAUGUCUGCCAGUGUUUCUGUCAUAUUGUGUAUGUUAGUAUCUAUCACUUUUUCCCUGACACAUUCUCUAUGUCAGUACCUGAAAGUGUUUCCAUGUCACAUUCUGUGUGCCAGUGUUUGUCAGUGUUUUUAUGUCAAAUUCUGUGUGUCAGUGUCUGUGAAUGUUUCUAUUUUACAUUCUUAUGUCAGUGUCUGCCAGUGUUUCUAUGUCACAUUCUGUGUGUUUAAAAGUGUUUCUGUCAUAUUCUGUAUGUGUUAAUAUCUAUCACUGUUUCCAUGACAUAUUCUGUUUGUCAGUGUCUGUCGGUGUUUCCAUGUCAUAUUCUGUGUGUCAGUGUCUUUCCAUCAGAAAAGAAUUAAGAUCCCGCAGGACUCUAAUCCCAGUUUGCCUCCAUCCUUUCUUCACUUAAGGAUGGUUAAUGGGGCCAAACAAAUUAAUGGUUAUGGGGCUCCAGUGUAACCCCUGGGCUCUAGGAAAUUUAGAUGUGGGCAGCCAGUGACAUCAAAAUCUAACUCAUUAUUCUAAAAUGCUAAACAUUUCUGUGCUGCUUUAAUAGUAUGGCUUAGUUACUAUUUACAGACAAUCUCCUUUAAUUAAUGUACUUCUCUCCUAUUUGUGCAUUUCACUGCGGUUUGUUUGUGAGACUUCUGUUUGAUUCUGGGAAAUUUCCUUACCCUUGUAAGCCUUUGUGGUUCUUUCCUCUGCGUGCCACAAGAUUAACAGAAGAGACAAAAAUAUAUACAUCUUCAUUUUUUUGUGACCCCUUUCCCUCUAUGUACAUGUCCUUGCUUGAUUAACAUUGUUUUUGUGACAUUUCCCUCCUUAAUCUAACUUUUUACAAGCUUGCCUGUUUGUCAUUUCCUUCCAAACUCUGUCCCUCUUGUUGGAACUUUAGUCUAGUGAACCAUUUCAUUGCCUCCUGUGUCCAGGUUGUAGCUUCUUUUCUAUGUGUUCACAGAUCCAAAAUCACAGCUAUAUCUUUGUCAUAACCGCAUUCCCUACAUGUGUGCAGAAUAUCUCUUUCUAUGGAUAUAUAACCUAAAUCCCUGUUCCCUCAUUUUAUAGACAUAUCUCUCUUUCCCAAAAUUCAUCACACCGCUGUUUGUUUCCUUUUAGCUGACUUUCCCAUAUCCCAUUUAAAUCUAUAUUUUGUAUUUCCUGGUGCUCUAUCGGCAACUAUCUAGAGCUGGAUCUACUGUCAACAUAUCAUUCAUAGCCAUUUACCAACUUUUAUGACCAUCAUAUUUAUAUUUCCCCUCCAUUUCUUAUUCCUAUAGCAUUACACUGCUGUAUCCCACUCCCCAUAGUCAUGUUCCCCAACUCAAUAUUCGCAUCAUAGCAAUAUUGUUCUCUUAUAAAAGUAAAGGGUGUCUAGAGGUGCAACUGUCAAGUUGUAAAUACAGGUCUUUGCGAGAAGAGACAUAUGAAGGUCAAACAUACAAAAUGUACUUCAUGGGAGCAAAGGCAGGUCUCUACUGCCUUCAAAAAAAAAAACACAACUUGUAGGAGGAAACAUAUCUGAGUGUCCUUAGGUCACACACCACCUUUCCUAGAGCUGGCCAGAUGACCAGCAAAAAAUAGAUAGUGGCUUACCUAUGAACAGCCCACUGAGGCAUGUCCAAAUUCGCAGGUAAAGGAUGACUCCACAUGCCAAAUUUCGUUUUCUGUAACAAUCUCUUUUCCAUCAGCUAUUUCUCUUUCUCCCCAUUUCUUGCAUCGUUUAAAAUUUUAAGCAGCACGCAAGUUGGUAAUAAAUCCUGUACACCGUGUGGCUCCUGUCAUCUUACAAUGUGCAUGACAUUUUAAAAGGACAGAAUCAUGGGUAACUGAAGGCGAGAUUCAGAGUGGAAAGACUGAUAUGGGAAAUGGCUAUUCAUUCUCUCUGGAGUGGUAAACAUAGGACUGAAUCCUCCCUCAGUCAGCCGGCAUCCCCAAGUUUUUAAACCUAAAAAUCCAGAUAGGAAGGAGGAACUUUAGGCAUUUAGUUAGCUUCUCUCCGUGUGUGCUUUCCUGUGUGGGUCAAAGGUUUGCCCAUAGUCCCUAUGAUUUGAAAUGCUGUAUACAGGGCUAAUAAUUUCAAGUCCUACAUCGCUAGCAAGAUAUUAAAAGUUACUUGACAUUGCCAGUUUGCUGAGUCCUUGGCAAAUUAAAAUUUCACUCGCCAAUGGCCAUACGUAUAUGUGUAUGUAUAUGUGUGUGUGUGUGUGUGUAUAACACAAUAGCAAGGUGAAAGUAACAUACCAAACACAUUGCAAUAAACCAGUAGACUCUUGAGUCAGAACAAUAACAUGAUACGUGAGCAUGGCGAGUUUGGGAUUAUUAACUAUAACAAUUCAAUUGAAAAAAGGCUGUAAAGAAUCAUAAUUCCAAAAACACCUAUAUCUAUAUACAAAAUGAUGCACACCUUAAAAAUCAAAUCACUGUAUUGUAGACUCAAAAAAUAAACAAAACAGAAAUGAAUGACAAUAAUGACAAUAAUGCAAUAUUGCAAUUAAUCAGUGAUAGAGGUUAUAUAACAUUAACUAAACCAUAUAGGUAAAACAGCUCACUUGCAUAUUACCUCAAAAGGUCUGGACACGUCUACCCAACAUGCCCUAACAUUUCGGCACAAACACUACUGACUUUCUCAAGGGUCAAUCACACUUACACAUCAUCCCUUGGUGUUUUUAAAUAGCCCUCCUUCCAGCAGAUGGCCAUCAGGGUAAAUCACAAACGAGGCUGGGCAUGAUGUCAUCAUACCCAAUUUCGCUUGAUUAAUAUCCCCAAAACACAUACAAUAUUGACACACACAGUGCUCAAGAACCAAUAAACAUAAUAAACAAACAGUGGUAAAGAAAAAAAAAAUAAAGAUAAAAUCACCGAUACCGAACUCGCACAUGCACACGCGUAGCCAUUGGAAUAAAUGUGGAGGGUGUGUGAACUGUAAUGGUGUUAUAGUGGGUGCACAUUUUUUGUACCCUAGCACUGGCAGGAGGUAUCUGGUUAAGGAGUACUGUAAUUGUAAAUCUUAAUGGGUCGUAUACCUUUUGAAAUGCCUAUGUGGCCUGGCCAUAGUGGAUGAGACCACUCUGGCAUUCACACUGAGGAUAUGUGAACAUGAGUAGCAUUUGUACACAGAAACUGCAGCAUCUGAUGGCAAGGCAUUUUGUGGACGCUGGCCACUCUGUUGCACAAUUGUGGUAUAUGAUUAUUGAGAAGGUACAUCCUCCCUUGCAUGGUGGUUCACGUGAACUCAGAUUAUGACAGAGAGAACUCUCAAUGAAGACAGAGUUUUCUCACCUUUUUUGUAGGUUUUAAUUAUGACCUCAGCAUGUGCAUAGUUUUUUAUUUUAAUUGCUGUUUUAAUCCUUCUUGGUAAUAGGUGGUACACUGGAAAAGUGGUUGCAUCUGUAUGGCUACAAUAUGUACUGUGAGUGAAGACCUCGUGCAUAUUCAAGAUUGGACAUUGGAGAUUGAAGAUAUGCCGGAUACUGGAUUGUUCUUUCUGUAAUCUGUAAAUAGUAACGGAAAUGUUUCCAAAUAAAAGUUUCUUAAGC